UACGUAGGGGGCUAGCGUUGUCCGGAUUUAUUGGGCGUAAAGAGCGUGUAGGCGGCCAUGUAGGUCCGGUGUGAAAACUCGAGGCUUAACCUCGAGAUGUCAUCGGAAACCAUUUGGCUAGAGUCCGGAAGAGGAGAGUGGAAUUCCUGGUGUAGCGGUGAAAUGUGUAGAGAUCGGGAGGAACACCGGUGGCGAAGGCGGGUCUCUGGGCAAUUCCUGACGCUGAGGCGCGAAAGCGUGGGGAGCAAACGGG
rnacentral:rRNA from 1 species